CCUACGGGGUGCAGCAGUGAGGAAUAUUGGUCAAUGGACGAGAGUCUGAACCAGCCAAGUAGCGUGAAGGAUGACUGCCCUAUGGGUUGUAAACUUCUUUUAUAUGGGAAUAAAAUGUUCCACGUGUGGGAUUUUGUAUGUACCAUAUGAAUAAGGAUCGGCUAACUCCGUGCCAGCAGCCGCGGUAAUACGGAGGAUCCGAGCGUUAUCCGGAUUUAUUGGGUUUAAAGGGAGCGUAGGUGGAUUGUUAAGUCAGUUGUGAAAGUUUGCGGCUCAACCGUAAAAUUGCAGUUGAAACUGGCAGUCGUGAGUACAGUAGAGGUGGGCGGAAUUCGUGGUGUAGCGGUGAAAUGCUUAGAUAUCACGAAGAACUCCGAUUGCGAAGGCAGCUCACUGGACUGCAACUGACACUGAGGCUCGAAAGUGUGGGUAUCAAACAGGAUUAGAUACCCCUGUAGU
rnacentral:rRNA from 1 species